GGGACGGAGGGGGGCGGGGACGGGUGGCCGCGCCGCCCAGGGCCGCGGAGCGGGGGAUGGGCCCCGGGCGGGCACGGGAGCGCGGACCCCGCUCGCCCCGCACCCGGCACCCCGAGGUUGCCUCCCUCGCGGCGAGGCUAGCGCGCGGGCGCACCAUGCUACGCCUCUUAAAGGUUCCGCGAGAGCUUGAGGAUGGAGCCGAAGACUUUAAGUCUGUUCGCAACUUGGCGAAGCCACUAAACGCGCGGCUCGCGCUCCACCCGGGACUCCCGGCGCUUUAUGUAGAAGUCCACGAUGCCAAAGGCGGAUAAUGCAACUCCCUUCUUGUAGAGGGGUACGCAGCGGAGGUGGCAGGGUGCCUGGAUCUGGGCUUGCAAACGAAAGAUUUGGCUAGAUCCGAGUGGUGGCAAAUCCUUUGCUUAAUGAACUCUCAUCACUUGUUCGGUUUGGUAGCUCCUUUUUGUUUGUUUGUUUGUUUGAAAAGAAACCGUUCGAUAUUUGCUUUUUUUUUUUUUUUUGGAGGUUUAGUAUUUUAUAGAUUUGUGGCCUGACAUUUUAGUUGCUCAAAUGAAGCAUCUCGGAUGCUUAGAAGCACAAGUAGACUUCACCUCAUUGUCAUGAAGCAAUUAAAAAAAAUUCCCCUCAACUUUAUUUUUCUCUCAUUGGCUUUAGCUAACUGGCCAGUCGGUGACCUGUCACACACACGGUCAUGAAAAGAGAGAGAAAGACCUUUCUUCCCGCUGAUGGACAGGCGGAGGCAGCCGCUCAGCCUCGCCUGUGCACACCCUCUGCACACACAUGUAAACGCACAUGUAUCAGAUGAACAUUUGUCAAUGUACACAGACAAAGACAUCCAAGAAGAUGCUGCUAGGUCACAGAACAGUUGAAUACUGAGUUCAUUGUUCAAAUUCUCCUUAAACAUCCGUAUAGUCAUUAAAACACACCCAGAGAGCCUGCUCCAAAUUGGAAAUAAUACCAGCACAACUCAGAAGAACCACAAACAAGCCAUAGUCUAUCUCCAGAGAAUCACUAGAAAAAACAGCCUCACAGCCUGUCAUUCUGCUCAGUGUGCCCAAACCAUUGAUAUUGCUUGUCUGAAUUUGUGCCCCAGUUUCAAACAUUAAACAUACAGAACUACACCCCAGGACACAUUAUAUUUCACGGACUAAACUUGUUGUGUGAUUAGGUCCAGUUAGUUGAUUGUGAGGAUUUCGUAUUUGUAUGAGAAAUUUGUGUCUAAUAGGGAAUACUUUGAACCAAGACAAAAACUAAAUCCAUAAAUCCAACAGCUUUACCAACAACUAAAUUAUUUCUACACAAAAGAUGCUGGGCUACAGGGGAAAAGGGGGGGGCAUUAUAAAGAGCAAAUUGACAACUUCAGAAAAGCAUCCUGGGUAGCACAGAAAUUUGGCAAUAUAAAGUUACUUUAAUAAAAUAAACCAAACGUGCAAUUGACGUGAGAAAACUGCACUUUCAGGCUGUUUCUUUUACACAUACAGGCAGAGUGUGAGACAAGGAACACAUGAAGACGUGGGCAGGCAGAAGCUGACUUUUCGGCAAGGAAAAAAAGCAUCCUAUUUAAGCUUCUCCCUAAAGUCUUCCUUAGCCCUCUCUUUCUCUACUGAAAUCACAUAUUGCAAUAAAGCGGCAGGUGCUGUGAUUAUUUGAAUGUUUUAAGAAAUAGCAAGCUCUAGCAUGUACUAGCCUAUCAUAAACCUGAUGUGUAAUAAGGUGGCCACAGAGUAAAGCCAGGCUGAACAUUUCUGGCUGAUUAGAGACACUAUAUAACUUUCUCCUACAGAGAACAAGAAAGAAAGAUGGAAAAUAAAUCAUUUCAGAGAAGUCUGGAAUUUUUUUUUUAAACUUCUCCCACUAAGGAAUUAUUUGAUGCUUCAAAUCUCAGAAUAGAGGCAAGCUCAGCAUAUAGUGAGACUGAGGUUGACACAGGAAAUCUAAUAGGUAUUCCCAUCUCAAGUUAAUAGAUGAGCAUAAUUGAUUAUAGAGAAAUGUUAAUCUUUGCCUCUACAGUGCAGCCAUUUCCAUGGUAAGAUUACUCUUUGCGCACACACACAGAGAUUAUUUUUGAGGAGAAGCUUCAUAUACGUAUUUGUGUGUGUUCUUCAUUUUUCUAGCUAAAGAAACUACAGCCUUCAAAUCCCAUAUAUAUUAUGAAUCACAGAAUUGCAGACAGCUAGGCACAUAGCCAUCUAGCUACUAUUAAGGCAAAGGUGCUUCACUUUCGUAUUUUAAGGUUCAUUUAGCUAUAGAAAUGCUGCUUAGAAAAAGAAAAAAAAAUCACCAUAUGAAUUGUAGCUAAUUUUACUGAUUGGAUGAAAAGACAGGAAAGCCGAAUUGAGGGUAGGGGAAGCAAAAAAUAUUUUUUAAAGCCCUUAUGAAUGAUGCCCAGGUGUCCUCAGACUAACAGGUACAAAUCUAUAUAUUAUUAUUAUUUUUUUAAACUCCAACCAAGCCUUUUACUGCAAAUGUAAAUUUAUUUUAAUGAGAAUGGUGACAAGCUUUAUUUGACUGGUCAGAGUUAGAAAAAAAAUUAGUCUUAAUCUGAAAAAAAAAAUCACCAAUUCGCAGGAAUAUGGUUUCCUUACAGAAAGUGGUUGGCUGGUCUGUAAUUCUUUACAGAUUAAAUCACAAUAUGAAUACAGACCCCAGCAAUGCGGAGUUUAACUCUGAGCUCAGUAGAAUCCAGGAUCCAUUGAAUUUCUCCUUUCCCUCAAUCUAGUCGUGUGUGUUUUUCUCUUCCACCACACUGGAGCCUCGUGAAUAGGGAAGGGGCUUCCAUUGUGUCCCUCUGAACUUCCAAGUCAAUGCAAUUUUUAACCACUGGCUUGUGGUACUUUGAAAAUCACCAGGGGCUGUCAGAGUUGGGUCCUCUGAAAAAUUUACAGUGCUAAAUCAGAGCAUAUGCUGGGAGGGAAAAAAUUGCUUAAGAUUGGAGCAAGUACAGUAUCUGUCUGCCCCCUAGUGUAAGAGUCCUCGCUGUCUAAAAUCCAACUUUAAAAGAAAAGGAGCCCUUAAAGGGAAACGACUUGGGGCUCACGUAGGCAUAGGAGAACGAAACUUCUGUACAUUUUAAUCUGAAUAAUUCUUCAGGAUUGAAAAUUAUUUGGCUGUGGCUUGGUUGGAUCGCACUGGGAUCUCGUCGUCUCUACGUUUCCCGAGUCACUGGUGAAGAGGUGAUUUUUUUUUUUUUUUUUUUGAACUGGGUUUAUGUGCGUCCCCCUCACCCCUCCUUUCUUUUUCUUUCUGCCUCUGUCGUCUCUUUCGCUGGCUUUUUUUUUUUUUUUUUUUAAAUGAGGAACCCUUCCAUGAACGUUUUGCACAGAGAACAGAAUUGCUUCUAAAGUCAGCCCGGCGCGGUUGCAAUAGACAGCAAAAAGGUAAACGUUUGCCUGAAAUCCGCACGCCAGCUCCACCACCCCGCCCGAUGAGAUGACAAGAAGAACAGUAUUUAUGAAAAGAACUUUCAUGAUGUUUGUGGAAACAGCCGAAGAGGACCAACAAGACAGGAAGCAGUCUUUGGAUUGAACACCUCACUGUCUUCCCCACAACAACUGGUUACGAUCAAAAUCACGAUGGCGCACUCUGCCAGAGAAGAGCAGAGAGAAGGACCUGUUGUCACUUACCCGAGACAUCCAAAGCAAGUAAGACACAGAACAGUCUUCCAGGUAAAGGAGUUGACUCAGAGAUCCCCUGCAGUGAAGACAUGGGUUUUCGUCACUCGGAGCAGCUUCCGACUCUGAGUAUUGUGUCAGGAUGUAGUUUUUCAGGUAUAUGUUCCUCAAAAAUGAUUUUUUUUUUUUUUUUUUUGCAAAAGAAAUCGGGAAAUAACAGUUCCCUGCCAUCUCCGGAUUAAUUACUACAACACUUUGAUUAACUUUGGUUUGGGGUUAGUCAGUGACCAAGGGAAUAUGGUGAGGUUAACACCAUGAAAACUGUGCCAAUGAGAGGGCUUUUAGAAACAGGUAGCCAAUUCAGAGCUUUUAUUUUAUCAUUUUAUUAUUUUUAUUUUUUUCAAGACAAGGUAUCCAUAGGCGGCAUUGGCUCGCCUAGAACUUACUAUGUAAACCAAGUUGACUUUGAACUCACAGAGCUGUGCCUGCCUCUGAUUCCCAAGUGCUGGGGCUAAGGGGGCACAGCACAGUGCCUGGCAAUUACAGGUAUCUUGACUUAAUUAGAAGCAGCUAGAACAUUUGGUCUAAACUUUGAAGUUUACAAAGGUUAAACUAUAUGAGAUUGGGAUGCAGGUUCCUCUCCUGUCAGAGGACAAACUGUACUAAUUUUUCAGAACUUUGGCAAUUUCAAAAUUGUUUGAAGGUAAUUAUCUUUUUUUUUUUUUAAUGUAAUCCUGAGGAGAGUGGCUUGACCUUGCUUGCUGAAAUGUCCACAGAGAUGAAGAAGCAUGAAGAAUGGGAGGCAUCCAACCCAGAAGAGCAGGCCUGCCAUUUAUGGCAGGGGUGAGGAGACUGGCAGUUUUUCCUGUGGUCAGAAUGAAUGCCUGCGUGCAGGAUUUUACACAAGACCACAAUAAGUACUACUGGUAGAUUGAUAAGUUGGAAAGAACCACAGGUUCUACGGCAGAAACAAGAAGGUGUGGACCUGUGGGAAGAGGCUCUGGGGACAUUGUUUCAGGUUCCUGCUGAAGCCAGCAUUUAGGAGAUGGACAGCUGUUCAAGGAAAGGAAGAUCCCCAGAAGACAAGGACUUUUCUAAGUUGGCCUGGUUUGCCAGAGUAUCCUAAGAAGUCUCUUGAAACAAAUAAAACACUCAGAACUUCUGUAACUGUCACAGACAGUAUCCUGUUACUGCCUUUAAACAGAGCCCCUCAAGGGGAAGAACCCCUAUAUCCCAGAGUCAGAUGUCAGCCAUCUUAGGUCUUUGUUUUGCUUAAACGUCUGUACGUUUCCCAGUCAUAGGAAGACCGGGAAGAAAACUGUCCUAAGCGUCAUCUACUGUGUGGACUUCUCCGCACAGUCCUCUCUUUCCACAGACGCCAGCACUGUGCCUUCCUGAGGGCCGCUGAUGCAGGCACCUGCUACAGGGUUUGGGAGGAGCUUUGCUGUGGGAGCAGAGAACACAGCUCACACGUACUCAUGUUUACCCAGCCUCUCAAGUUCUGACUGAAUUCAUGCAUCUAAUCUAAAAGAAAGUUAAGAAAAACAAGGAUUGGUCCUGCUUGCUCCAUCUUCACUCUCAUCUGGUUAAUGGUGGACUCACGACUUUCAUGCGGGCGAUUGGACACCCAACAGAAGACCUGGAAGACCAGGAGGCUGCCCUUCCCGCCUCUGGCUUUGAUUUGCCAGAGUUGAUAAGAUUUCGAUUCACAGUUACUACCUGCCACCAGCUCUUCAGAGGGAGAGUGAAAGAACCCACAGCACACUGUACGGAUCGUCAGAGGCUGCACCUCGAAGCAGAGCUGACUCUGACAGACAAACGCUGAUUAGGAUAAGGUCUUGAGUAGUCCAGAUGGACCUCAAAUUCAUUGAAUAGCUGGGGAUCACCUUGAACACCUGAUCCCCCCUGCAUCUACCUCUCUCAAGUGCUGGGAUUUCAGGCUCCUGAUGCAGCUGCUAUCUGCGGACCUCCUGGACGGCCCAGGGAAGGAAGUGGGAGCUCCUGCCGCAGAUGGGUGGAACAGCGGCAAGAAAGGCUGAAGGUGGCCAAAAAUAACAGUGCCUUCCAGAUGAGGUGACCUCAGGGCCAAGAGCUUCAUGGGGUAGAGUAUCUUGUUCCUAGUUUUAUGAUCUAAAAAAGUACACAGAAGAUGCAAAGAUACUCCAGAGAGAAAGAAUAAAAUCUGCAGAGAACAGGGAAAUGUGAUUCGUUACUUCUUUUUUUUUAUAAAUUGAGUUUUUUUGUGCACAAACACAAGAAAACAGCCUUUUAUACAUGUUUGAAGAAAGACCGUAGGUAGUUGAAGACAGAUGAUAGAUACGUAGAUAGGUGGAUAGGUAGACAGACUGAAAAGACAAGCAUAACAUAAUGCAAUAGAAGAAGAAAAGGGGAAAGAGGUAGAGACAACGCUGCCUUCCUUUGUUUGCUACUGAAACAAAUUUAAUAAAUCUUCAUUGACGAUCAA